rnacentral:lncRNA from 1 species
AUGUGGCUGGAAAGCUGUGCCCACAUGGAAACUCCUGCAUUUACCAUCUCAGCUCCACUGGAUAUGAAUAUCUUACCCCCUUCUGUCAAAUUCUUGUUGUUGGUCUACGACAUAAGUAUUUUCUUGCAAGACAGACCUGUCUCAGGUUCCAUCCCUGCAACUAGAGCAGCAAAUGGUCACUCUAGGAAAAGUUUUCUGCACUGCAACCCGCUAAGUGCCCUGCUGCUGUCAAAUCUCAGUGAUCAAAGACAGGAGUCACACUCUGCAUGUUUAGGUUAAACAUGAUGGGGUUAAAAACAAUGUUAGGUAAUUAACAUUGGGCAGAGCUCCACCCAGCCAGGUGUGUGCGCAGGAUUAGCUCUGCACAGCCCUGGAGAAAAGAGGUACUGCAAUGUGCACAGAUGGCAGGAACUGCAGCCUCUCAACCAGACAUCCUUCCAGAUCCAGCCACUGUCUGGGACAGUGGUACUGGCCAUAUGAAAAUUCUAGCUACCAUGAAGCUUUGUGGAUUUACCCCUAAAAAGGAAGGAGAAAUGGAACCCACAAAUGGGUUACUCAGCCCGCCCUCCAUGCCUUAUACCAUCAUGUAUCAAAUAUUUUGUUGACCAUAUUGCUUCUGAGAACAAUCCUAAUACAAAACAGAUGCAGAAAAAAUCUUUUCUGGUUCAGAUUUCAAGACUUCACCAGAAGGGAGCAGGAGAGACUUGCAGAAAAGCUCCACUUAACAUAUGUACUGUGGACAGUGCUGUCCUGCACAGAGCCUGAUCACAGUCAGGCUCCCAGAGAUACAACUGCAAGAAUAAGAAAUCUCAUCAACAAGCUCUUGUGACCUGGGAAAUUGUACCUUUGCAUGCGACACAGUAUGUAUUAUGUGGGAAUACAGGAAAAACUGUUCAGAGCAGAAGCUGUGGAGCAAGAUAAACAGCAUGAGAACCAAGGACACCUCUAGAAGAAGAAAGAACGUCUCCCAGCUCCGACUGGAUAAACGCCUGUGUGAACGGUUGAAGAGUGUUUUGUAGAAUGCUCUGCUGACAUGUAAAGGUGGAUGGGAAAGUUGUAGGGAUGAAUGGGAAAGCUAGAAAAAGAAAACUUGUGAAGCUAUAUAAGUGAUGUGAGAACUUGUAAUAAACAAUUUGGAUCAUUCA